GACGAACGCUGGCGGCGUGCUUAACACAUGCAAGUCGAACGGAAAGGCCCUGCUUUUGUGGGGUGCUCGAGUGGCGAACGGGUGAGUAACACGUGAGUAACCUGCCCUUGACUUUGGGAUAACUUCAGGAAACUGGGGCUAAUACCGGAUAGGAGCUCCUGCUGCAUGGUGGGGGUUGGAAAGUUUCGGCGGUUGGGGAUGGGCUCGCGGCUUAUCAGCUUGUUGGUGGGGUAGUGGCUUACCAAGGCUUUGACGGGUAGCCGGCCUGAGAGGGUGACCGGCCACAUUGGGACUGAGAUACGGCCCAGAAUCCUACGGGAGGCAGCAGUGGGGAAUAUUGCACAAUGGGCGGAAGCCUGAUGCAGCAACGCCGCGUGCGGGAUGACGGCCUUCGGGUUGUAAACCGCUUUCGCCUGUGACGAAGCGUGAGUGACGGUAAUGGGUAAAGAAGCACCGGCUAACUACGUG
rnacentral:rRNA from 1 species